AUCCCCCACACUGGUACUAGACACGGACCAGACUCCUACGGGAGGCAUGCAGUGAGGAAUAUUGGACAAUGGAGGCAACUAGACUCCUACGGGAGGCAGNAGUGAGGAAUAUUGGACAAUGGGCGCUGAUCCAGCCAUGCCGCGUGCAGGAAGACUGCCCUAUGGGUUGUAAACUGCUUUUAUACAGGAAGAAACCUUUCCACGUGUGGAGACCUGA
rnacentral:rRNA from 1 species